rnacentral:rRNA from 1 species
UACGAAGGGGGCUAGCGUUGUUCGGAAUUACUGGGCGUAAAGGGUGCGUAGGCGGCGAUGUAAGUCGGGUGUGAAAUCCCGGGGCUCAACCCCGGAACUGCAUUCGAUACUGCAUUGCUUGAGGACUGGAGAGGAGACUGGAAUUCACGGUGUAGCAGUGAAAUGCGUAGAUAUCGUGAGGAAGACCGGUGGCGAAGGCGGGUCUCUGGACAGUUCCUGACGCUGAGGCACGAAGGCCAGGGGAGCAAACGGG